rnacentral:tRNA from 1 species
AAUUGAAUAAGCUAAUUGUAAGCCGUCGGGUUCAUGCCCCGAAAAUGAGUUCUUCUCUUCAAUUA